CUCGCCGGCCGAUCCGCGACGCUCACUUGUUUCGUCGUCUGCGUCCCCCGGCAGUGCAUCAGCUGGCUCGGUUGUGGCUGGCUGUCAAGAAAUGAGUUGUAUGUGAUUUCUGUGUGCUGGGGUAUAUUAUGUUUGUGAAGUCUGUUAGUUUGUGGAGUGCGAUUUGUUUAACGAGGAUUACCUUUGGAUGUAACAAAGUUUUCACGGCUAAACCUCCAAAUAACAACGAGAAAGGCACAAAAUAAUCGGAUUAUCGGCGUGAUCAGCCACUCUCCUAUCAUCAAGUCAACAGGUGAGUUGAGACUGCAACAACGGAUAUGAACAGAUAUGUAAGUUAGAUUUCAUAACUUUUGGAGUUUUGGUCCUCUCUCUCUCUCUCUCUCUCUCUGUCUU